GACAGAGGGUGCAAACGUUGCUCGGAAUUACUGGGCGUAAAGCGCGUGUAGGUGGAUUGGUGUGUCAGAUGUGAAAGCCCUGGGCUCAACCCAGGAACUGCACCUGAAACUACCAGUCUUGAGUGGUGGAGAGGGAAGUGGAAUUCCUGGUGUAGAGGUGAAAUUCGUAGAUAUCAGGAGGAACACCGGUGGCGAAGGCGGUGGUCUGGGCCGGCACUGACGCUGAGGAGCGAAAGCGUGGGGAGCAAACAGG
rnacentral:rRNA from 1 species